rnacentral:lncRNA from 1 species
UGGUUCACUCCUUUCCUUUUGAUCUUUGAUGAUAGUUAUUGUACAACAUCCACUGUUUUUUGUGGUUGCAGUUGUUUUAGUGAGGCGUAUGGCAGAGAGUGCUUGGCAACUGCAGUGAAGCUUCUUGAGAAGAUCUGCAAAGGAGUCCGAUCCACUUCAACCUACACGCAGAACUUCACAGACAUCCCUGUGGCAUGCAUGAACAUGGUUGUCUCAAUAUCUGAGUUUGCCCGGGCCUUUGAGUCACAGGCAACUAAGGAUGUGGAAAGAGAGCAUAUGCAUGCCAAGGAGCUGGAUCUGCUAUCCGGAACUGACUAGUUCAGACCAUAGAACAAUAUUUACUAGAACGGACAUUCCCAUUUAAGUCAAUUGUCUGUCAUGGGUGGACCGGUGGCCAUAUUGAGUGUACCCAUGAGUGUUCCAGACAAAUUGCUGUGGUUUGAGGGUCUUUGUCCAUUCUAGUAGUUGUAUUUCUAUGGUUGAGACAUUUCCGAAAAAGGAUGGAAAUAACUUAUCAUUCCUUUCAAGGCAACUAAGGAUGUGGAAAGAGAGCAUAUGCAUGCCAAGGAGCUGGAUCUGCUAUCCGAGGCGAUGGUGAUCGUCAGAUCCUGGAUCGGCACAACCUUCAGAGACCGGUUGCUAGCCAGGAGUGUGACCACCUUGUACCUCAGUGUAAAUGUCACCACAGAGAUAGAGGUGAGAAAAUGAUUCAUUUUUGUUGUGCAAAUCGUGAUUUGUAUUUUUUCAUGUGUAGUUCCGGAUAGUUUUUUUUUUUACUGACUGCUCUUUUUUUAUUUGCCAGAUGUGGAACAACAUAAUCUCUCUCAAGUUCGCCAAUGACGAUUUCACAAAAGAAUGGAGACAAACGUUCACUAGGGACUUGGAGGGCAAAUUGAAACAGGUAUGAAACUUCCACACAUACAGUAGAAUUGAGAUCAGACUGAAAUAUCCAUUGGUGAAAUGACUGAAAUACCUUUUCUGCACUUCUAGGAGUCUCCUCUGGAUCAGAUAGAGAUCUACUGUUCCAAGAUUGAGGUCCUGAAUGAAUCUCACCCUCACGUAGCCAAGACUAUCGAGAAAUGUGCCCUAGAAGCUGUCACCUCACUGUGCCAGAGCAAGUCUGAGGGUAAACUCUUUGACCGGUUGAAGAUCAACUAUAAGUUUGGCAAACUCAUCUCAACCAUCAUCCAGAAGUCCUGGCCGAGAGAUGAGCGUGGUAAUUACCACGAAGACGACGACGUGGUCUUUCAACACCUGCUCUCCUGGACAGCCGCCAAGAACAUCUUCCAGCUACACGGUACUUCCAUCAGUCUAUUUACUGUUCUUCCAUCAGUCUAUUUACUGUUCUUCCAUCAGUCUAUUUACUGUUCUUCCAUCAGACUAUUU